AGGACGAACGCUGGCGGCGUGCUUAACACAUGCAAGUCGAGCGGUGAUCCUCCUUCGGGAGGUGAUCAGCGGCGAACGGGUGAGUAACACGUGGGCAACCUGCCCCUCACACUGGGAUAACCUCGGGAAACCGGGCUAAUACCGGAUACGACCUCGAGCGGCAUCUCUUGAGGUGGAAAGCUCCGACGGUGAGGGAUGGGCCCGCGGCCUAUCAGCUUGUUGGUGGGGUAGUGGCCUACCAAAGGCGACGACGGGUA
rnacentral:rRNA from 1 species